rnacentral:rRNA from 1 species
GACAGAGGAGCCAAGCGUUGUCCGGAUUGACUGGGCGUAAAGCGCACGCAGGCGGUCGCGCGCGUGGGGUGUGAAAACUGGCGGCUUAACUGCCAGAGGCCAUCCCAUACGGCGCAACUCGAGCCAUGCAGAGGUCCACGGAAUUGCCGGUGUAGUGGUGAAAUGCGUAGAGAUGUGGAGGAACACCGAUGGCGAAGGCAGCCCCCUGGGCUAACACUGACGCUCAUGCACGAAAGCGUGGGGAGCAAACAGU